CUCUCUCGCUGGUGGAUCAAUGGAUCAUCUUCCGACUUCCACCAUUUCCUGUUCGAGAAUAAUCACGUUUCUCUCCUUCUAUACAUGACAUUCCCCUGCAGAGGACCCCAGCAGCCAUGGCUUCCCACAAGAGAGCUUAGCUCGCACUCGCUGCCUUCCGCAGCUUCACCUCGAAGCUCGCUCCAGCAAGAACUCUCGCCCCACAGUCCAUUUCAAGAAUGCCCCGACUGGGGCCUGCGAUCUUGGCUCACAAUACUGCUAAAGUCCCGAUCUUGUCCUCUCUAACUUUCCACAGCCACAGUGUCCGUUCACCCUCGAUCCACCCAUCUUACCACUGCCUCGAAUCACAGCAACAAUCGAUCGGGCAGAGCAGGAAGCUCGAAGAUGUUGACGAGGAGAAGCCGAGAAGAGACAGAAGGAGGAGGAAAACUCGAAGCUGUUGUGAAACUUGCUAUGGUCGAAGGAGAAGAGGAAGCUUGAAGUAGAGAGGUGAAGAGAAGACUAACUAAACUGAAGAGUGAAGAUUAGGAUUUCAAUUCAGGCUUUCAGUUUUAGCCUUCAGAGUUCAGAAUCGAUUGAUUCCAGUUCAUUUGGUCGGAUUUUCCUUUAAAAAAUUCCGAACCGAUGCAACUGGUUGGUUCACAUGGGUUUGAUGGAUUUGUUUAAAAACCAGCUGGAUUUUUUGGUUCAAUUAUGCAUUUUUGGUUUUCAAAGUAACCCGAUCGGACACAAGUCCAGUUUCUGUUCCGGUCCGAUCCGUCGAAUUACUUGAUUCGAUCUGAUUCUAAUAACACUGAUCCAUAUAUAAUAAAUCAAA